GGAUUGUGGCUCAGAGGAAGAAGGCUUGCCUAGCAUGCGAGAGGCACUGGGUUUGAUUCUCAGCACCA
rnacentral:tRNA from 1 species